rnacentral:rRNA from 1 species
ACGGGAGGCAGCAGUGGGGAAUAUUGCGCAAUGGGGGCAACCCUGACGCAGCAACGCCGCGUGCAGGAAGAAGGUCUUCGGAUUGUAAACUGUUGUCGCAAGGGAAGAAGACAGUGACGGUACCUUGUGAGAAAGUCACGGCUAACUACGUGCCAGCAGCCGCGGUAAUACGUAGGUGACAAGCGUUGUCCGGAUUUACUGGGUGUAAAGGGCGCGUAGGCGGACUGUCAAGUCAGUCGUGAAAUACCGGGGCUUAACCCCGGGGCUGCGAUUGAAACUGACAGCCUUGAGUAUCGGAGAGGAAAGCGGAAUUCCUAGUGUAGCGGUGAAAUGCGUAGAUAUUAGGAGGAACACCAGUGGCGAAGGCGGCUUUCUGGACGACAACUGACGCUGAGGCGCGAAAGUGUGGGGAGCAAACAGGAUUAGAUACCCUGGUA